rnacentral:rRNA from 1 species
UACGAAGGUCCCAAGCGUUGUUCGGAAUCACUGGGCGUAAAGGGAGCGUAGGCGGCGUGGUAAGUCAGAUGUGAAAUCCCGGGGCUCAACCCCGGAACUGCAUCCGAUACUGCCAUGCUAGAGGAUUGGAGAGGUAGCUGGAAUUCUUGGUGUAGCAGUGAAAUGCGUAGAUAUCUGGAGGAACACCGGUGGCGAAGGCGGCAUCCUGGACCGGCAUUGACGCUGAGGCGCGAAAGCCAGGGGAGCAAAGCGGG